rnacentral:rRNA from 1 species
CCUCCGGGGGGCAGCAGUGGGGAAUAUUGGACAAUGGGCGAAAGCCUGAUCCAGCCAUGCCGCGUGUGUGAAGAAGGCCUUCGGGUUGUAAAGCACUUUCAGUGGGGAAGAAAGCCUUGGGGCUAAUACCCUCGAGGAAGGACAUCACCCACAGAAGAAGCACCGGCUAACUCCGUGCCAGCAACCGCGGUAAUACGGAGGGUGCGAGCGUUAAUCGGAAUUACUGGGCGUAAAGCGCGCGUAGGCGGUCUGAUAAGCCGGUUGUGAAAGCCCCGGGCUCAACCUGGGAACGGCAUCCGGAACUGUCAGGCUAGAGUGCAGGAGAGGAAGGUAGAAUUCCCGGUGUAGCGGUGAAAUGCGUAGAGAUCGGGAGGAAUACCAGUGGCGAAGGCGGUCUUCUGGACUGACACUGACGCUGAGGUGCGAAAGCGUGGGUAGCAAACAGGAUUAGAUACCCCAGUAGUC